rnacentral:misc_RNA from 1 species
GUAAACCCUAGAUGUCCUGUUUGUGGGGAAUUAGAUCCUCUUCCUCGCUUAUUUUUCACUUGCCCACGUUCAGCUGGAGUUUUGUUCAAUAGUCCACUGCGGUUCAGAUCAACCUUGAACCAAUUUCCUAAUAUCAAAGAUUGCCAGUCUGCUUUGGUUAAGCCUUUGGAAUCUUAUCCUGAAGGGAAAGUGUUUAUUCAGAUGGCAAUGUUCUUGAUGUGGCAUCUGUGGAAGAGCAGGAAUGCUCUUAUUUUCCAAAAUAAUCGGAAAGAUUGUGUCCACAGCUCUCUUCCACCUCAAGGACUUUAUUUCGGCUAAUUAAUCCAGUUCGUCUUCAUCACUACAUAGGGACCAGCCGAUUGAAUCUCCUUUAUCUUGGAUUGCGCCCCCAGGUAAUUUGAUCAAAGUGAAUUUUGAUGCAGCAGUAGAUGCUCAUGGAGAAAAGGGAGCCAUAGCAGUGGUUGCCAGGGAUUCAAUUGGUAAAUCCCUGGAUUGGAAUUAUCAAGUUUUCAGGUCUAUUUUUGAUCCCUCGAUUCCAAUCCAGGGAAAGAUUGUGUCCACAGCUCUCUUCCACCUCAAGGACUUUAUUUCGGCUAAUUAAUCCAGUUCGUCUUCAUCACUACAUAGGGACCAGCCGAUUGAAUCUCCUUUAUCUUGGAUUGCGCCCCCAGGUAAUUUGAUCAAAGUGAAUUUUGAUGCAGCAGUAGAUGCUCAUGGAGAAAAGGGAGCCAUAGCAGUGGUUGCCAGGGAUUCAAUUGGUAAAUCCCUGGAUUGGAAUUAUCAAGUUUUCAGGUCUAUUUUUGAUCCCU